rnacentral:rRNA from 1 species
AUUGAACGCUGGCGGCAGGCCUAACACAUGCAAGUCGAACGGUAGCACAGGAGAGCUUGCUCUCUGGGUGACGAGUGGCGGACGGGUGAGUAAUGCAUGGGGUGCUGCCCAAUCGAGGGGGAUACCAGCUGGAAACGGCUACUAAUACCGCAUACGCCCUGAGGGGGAAAGGUGGGGACCUUCGGGCCUACCGCGAUUGGAUGCACCCAUGUGGGAUUAGCUAGUUGGUGAGGUAACGGCUCACCAAGGCGACGAUCUCUAGCUGGUCUGAGAGGAUGACCAGCCACACUGGAACUGAGACACGGUCCAGACUCCUACGGGAGGCAGCAGUGGGGAAUAUUGCACAAUGGGGGAAACCCUGAUGCAGCCAUGCCGCGUGUGUGAAGAAGGCCUUCGGGUUGUAAAGCACUUUCAGUGGGGAGGAAGGGGUGAUGCCUAAUACGCAUCAUCAUUGACGUUACCCACAGAAGAAGCACCGGCUAACUCCGUGCCAGCAGCCGCCGUAA